UACGGAGGGUGCGAGCGUUUAUCGGAAUUACUGGGCGUAAAGCGUGCGUAGGCGGUUAUCUAAGUCAGAUGUGAAAGCCCCGGGCUUAACCUGGGAACUGCAUUUGAAACUGGAUAACUAGAGUUUGGUAGAGGUGAGUAGAAUUCCUAGUGUAGCGGUGAAAUGCGUAGAUAUUAGGAGGAAUACCAGUGGCGAAGGCGGCUCACUGGACCAAAACUGACGCUGAGGUACGAAAGCGUGGGGAGCAAACAGA
rnacentral:rRNA from 1 species